GACGUAGGGUGCGAGCGUUGUCCGGAUUUAUUGGGCGUAAAGAGCUCGUAGGCGGCUCGUCGCGUCGACCGUGAAAACCCGCGGCUUAACUGCGGGCUUGCGGUUGAUACGGGCAGGCUAGAGUUCGGUAGGGGAGACUGGAAUUCCUGGUGUAGCGGUGAAGUGCGCAGAUAUCAGGAGGAACACCGGUGGCGAAGGCGGGUCUCUGGGCCGAUACUGACGCUGAGGAGCGAAAGCGUGGGGAGCGAACAGG
rnacentral:rRNA from 1 species